rnacentral:rRNA from 1 species
AUGCUCCCACCCAUGUCUCAACCAACGGACGAGUGGCGACGGCAGGGAGCCCAGGGCCGCGCCCGGAGGCUUGCAGGUCGUUGCUUCCCAACGACGACGCCGACUGCUUCCCGACAACGCCGCGGCCAGCCCGCCCGCCACGCCGAACUCGGCGAGCGGCAGGACGCUAGCCAGGCCGAGGCCGCUCGACAUUGGGUGCACCAUGCCCAGGCACAGCGCCACCGCCACGGUCGCGUCCACCGCGUGCCCGCCCGCACGCAGCGCCCACCUCCGAGCACCAUCCGUCGUCCGCGGCCGCGCCGGACUCCACCUCGUGCCGGCUCUCCCGCGCGCCAGACACCCUCGAGCUCCGGCCCCGAUCAGCUGCAGGCUCCGCGCCGGGGCCAAGGAGCAGCAGCAGGACGCCGGAAAGGGCGAGCAGCGCCACGGCGAUGCCCAGCGCAGCGCACGGACGACGAACCCUGCGGGAUGCUGAGGGACGCGGCCUCCUCAUGCUCGUGGGAAAGUGGCGGCAUGGCAACGUCUGGAUCGAGAAGGGCGGCGACCACGACCUUGAGCUCCUCCAGCGCCGCCGCCUUCCUGACGGCCGCGUCUGCUUCACCCUCAUCGUCGCCGCACUCGGACGGCUCCGCCCUAAGCAGCUCCGUAAGGCGGCGCGGCUGCGGCGACCGGAAGGACGUCCGGCCAUGGCAAGAACUGCCGCCGCACGUGAGAAGACCGGCCAGAACCGGAAGCCGCCCGCGUCGGCGUGCCCCACCUCCGGCCGCUCCGCGCCGCUCCACCUCCGCCGGCCACGCGCGCUCCUCCUCCGCCCGGCCUUGCCUGCCCCGGCAUCGCCAGCCCCGGCCUCGUCCAUCCCGGCCUUGCCUGCUCCGGCCACGGCCCCGCCUCGCCAACUCCGGCCAGCGCCUGCCCCGGCCUCGCCCGUCCCGGCCACACACGGCGAGCUUCGGCCUCGCCAGCCCGUAG